UUGGUUCAUCUUCCAGGAAGAAUAGCAGCAGCAAUCACACAGCAGAGGAGCAGGGAUGCAGGGAUUCUGGCUCCCUGGCUCCCUCCUGACCUUUGUUUCUGGGCCACGACUCGCCUGGCUGUUUGAGAUUAUUUAAGGAUCAAUUCAGAGAAGUAGGAUUAGUGGGUUAAUGAUCACAACAUCAUUUUAAGCUCUGUACUAGGAAUUGGUACACCAGCAUUUCCUCUCCUGACAAGCAAGUGUGUACAGCAGCUCCGCGAGGUUCUGUGUGGCGUCUCGGGAAAGUGGUCCAGUGACAGUGGACACCUGGGGAAGAACGAAGCUCACCAGGGCCCGGGAAACAAGGUGAUUCAGACGCGGGGCUCGAAGCUUGAGACGGGAGGGUGAGCAGGGCGUGUUUGAGGAGGGGCAGUGUACACCGAGUUUUAAGGCUGUGAGGAGGAGGAAGCCUCCCGCACGGAGGCCUCAAGGUAGGAUGGGCUGAAGGUGCCGAGAGGAGAGGCGGGACCACAAGCUGGCUGAGCUCAGGCAGAGACCAG
rnacentral:lncRNA from 1 species